rnacentral:rRNA from 1 species
UACGUAGGGUGCGAGCGUUGUCCGGAAUUAUUGGGCGUAAAGAGCUUGUAGGCGGUCUGUCGCGUCUGCUGUGAAAAUCCGGGGGCUCAACCCCGGACUUGCAGUGGGUACGGGCAGACUAGAGUGUGGUAGGGGAGACUGGAAUUCCUGGUGUAGCGGUGAAAUGCGCAGAUAUCAGGAGGAACACCGAUGGCGAAGGCAGGUCUCUGGGCCACUACUGA